rnacentral:rRNA from 1 species
AACGCGAAGAACCUUACCCAGGCUUGAACAGCGAGUGACCAGCGAUGAAAGUCGCCUUCCGCAAGGACACUCGUAGAGGUGCUGCAUGGCUGUCGUCAGCUCGUGUCGUGAGAUGUUGGGUUAAGUCCCGCAACGAGCGCAACCCUUGUUUGCUGUUGCCAUCACGUUAUGGUGGGCACUCUGCAAAGACUGCCGGUGAUAAACCGGAGGAAGGUGGGGAUGACGUCAAGUCAGCAUGGCCUUUAUGUCUGGGGCUACACACGUGCUACAAUGGCCGACACAAACCGUCGCAAAACCGUAAGGUCGAGCUAAUCGGAUAAAGUCGGUCUCAGUUCGGAUUGCAGGCUGCAACUCGCCUGCAUGAAGUUGGAAUCGCUAGUAAUCGCGGAUCAGCACGCCGCGGUGAAUACGUUCCCGGGCCUUGUACACACCGUACGUC